rnacentral:rRNA from 1 species
AGUGAACGCUGGCGGUAGGCCUAACACAUGCAAGUCGAACGGCAGCACAGUAAGAGCUCGCUCUUACGGGUGGCGAGUGGCGGACGGGUGAGGAAUACAUCGGAAUCUACUUUUUCGUGGGGGAUAACGUAGGGAAACUUACGCUAAUACCGCAUACGACCUACGGGUGAAAGCAGGGGAUCUUCGGACCUUGCGCGAUUGAAUGAGCCGAUGUCGGAUUAGCUAGUUGGCGGGGUAAAGGCCCACCAAGGCGACGAUCCGUAGCUGGUCUGAGAGGAUGAUCAGCCACACUGGAACUGAGACACGGUCCAGACUCCUACGGGAGGCAGCAGUGGGGAAUAUUGGACAAUGGGCGCAAGCCUGAUCCAGCCAUACCGCGUGGGUGAAGAAGGCCUUCGGGUUGUAAAGCCCUUUUGUUGGGAAAGAAAAGCAGCAGGUUAAUACCCCGAUGUUCUGACGGUACCCAAAGAAUAAGCACCGGCUAACUUCGUG